AAAUAGAUAUAUACAUAGUUA
rnacentral:snRNA from 1 species